CCGGCUAGCCCCAUUCACCCCCACGGGAUCAUAUCACCAAUCGCCCUCGUCUCCUCACGCCAAUCCAAACCCUAGCCGUCGCCAAUAUGCAGCUCCAUCCUGGUGCUCGCCCAGAUGAGUCGCCCCGCAAGGAGAGAACGUGACUAGGUCUAGCAGGAGACAGAGCUUCCUGUUCCAUCUCCACCGCAAUCGAUCGUGCCAAUUAACAGGCUCCCAAGGAGGAGAUCCAAUCUUGCUAGCGGGCGUCCCCAUUGCCCAUCCAUCGAUCUGAAUCUGCAGGUGAGCAGUCUCAUCAGGGUCUUCUCUUUUUUAGAAAUGACUCAUGGGUUUCUCACCAUCCCUUCCACUUGGGGAUUUCAAUCGAAUGGUGAAAUGGAGUUACCAAUCAACCACUGGCUGAAUCAGCUCUCGGCCUGCCCGGCCUUAUCUCCACCGGUACAGGCUAGUGACCACCGCCGCUAGGAGCACCUCGCCAGGAACGUGCGUACCUCCCUCCAGUGUAUCCUUCAACCCGCCAUGAAUUUCUUGGUUUCACUCGCUGGAUGAUCGACUGACUGACACACGUACUCUCCUGUCUUUAAGUCAAUCCAUGAUCCUAUCCACAUCAAGCGUGGCAAUCAAUCAUCAAAUAGUAUUUUUCUUUGGUCGGUUCCAUCAAGCGUGGCAGUAAUGUUUUGUUCUUGCAAAUUAUAGAUGUAAAUUCAGAUCAAGUAUAUGCAUUUGUAGUUUAUAUCACAAAGGGAAACUAAACAUUUCGAGCUGCAAGAUCCCACUGUAUGCAUUAUUACUGUACAUAUAGAACAAAAAUUGCAUUCAUUUCACCUUUCACACCCAAAAUCGCAUCCCCUUCAAUCGUUUGAAGGAUCCUUGGUGUGAGGUGAAGUCGAUCUAACACACUGUUGAUUUCAUCUUGAUUCUCCUAUUCUCUUCAUUCUCGAGCUCAUUGCAAACUUAACCUUGUGCGUAUUUGUUACUCUUAGAACCUUGUGUUCCUUGAUGGUUAGAGGUUGCUUGGGAGUCUCCAAAUUUGUGAACGACCCCAAGAAGUUUGUAUCACCCACUCUUUGAGCAAAUUUGAGAAGAGACUGCCUUGACCUUGGUGGUCGGCUUGUGGAGGAUUAGGGUUGGAAAAGACCCGGCCCUUUGUGGGCUCCUCAACGAGGAGUAGGAUACCUUUGUGGUGAUUGCCGAACCUCGGGUUAAAUCGUGUGUUCUUGUGUGUUCUUGAUAAGCACUUUAAUUGGUUGGUUAGUUCAUAUUCGGUUAUAUUGUGUGCAAAUCGUGUGAAAACAAUUCACAUCGAUUUGUCAUCUAUUUGAGUGGAUUUUCUCUAGGACAAGACUUUAGCAUAUUCUCUAACUACUUCGUCACAUUUGUUUAACUGUUUAUCUAAUCUAAGUUGAGCAGGUUCAAACUUGUUCGGUUGUAAACAAAAUCAACUGAACCGGUUUGUACCAGUGCAACUUGAAUUUGACACUAUUUCGUAGUUUUUAGUGGAAAAUUUCAGGUGUAGCCUA